rnacentral:rRNA from 1 species
CCCUGCCUUUUGUACACACCGCCCGUCGCUACUACCGAUCGGAUGGUUUAGUGAGACCCUCGGACUGGUCCCGUGGUGGUGGGCAACCACUGCUACGCGUGUGCCGGGAAGAAGGUCGAACUUGACUAUCUAGA